AGCUCCAAUAGCGUAUAUUAAAGUUGUUGCAGUUAAAAAGCUCGUAGUUGGAUUUCUGGUGGGAGCGAUCGGUCCGACACUCUGUGUGGGUACUUGCAUCGUCUCUUGCCAUCCUUGGGGAGAGUCUGUCUGGCAUUAAGUUGUCUGGGCAGAGGAUCUCCAUCGUUUACUGUGAAAAAAUUAGAGUGUUCAAAGCAGGCUUAUGCCGUUGAAUAUAUUAGCAUGGAAUAAUAAGAUAGGACUUUGGUACUAUUUUGUUGGUUUGCGCACCGAAGUAAUGAUUAAUAGGGACAGUUGGGGGUAUUCGUAUUCCAUUGUCAGAGGUGAAAUUCUUGGAUUUCUGGAAGACGAACUACUGCGAAAGCAUUUACCAAGGAUGUUUUCAUUAAUCAAGAACGAA
rnacentral:rRNA from 1 species